GGAUCUUGGGUGAUGCACCCCGGAAUCGGGCUCCCUCCUUUCUGGUUCCGGGGUGUAUCACCUGAGAACC
rfam:Myotis brandtii contig162459, whole genome shotgun sequence.